CUCUGACGCCCUCUUCUGGCCUCUGAGACCACCUGCACACAUGUGGUAUACACAUACACAAAUAAAUAAAAAUAAAAACAAAUAUUUUUAAAUCUACAUUAAGAAAAAAAAAAAAAAACCAAAAGAUACCCCAGGAGGCCCCAAGCUCAUCUUAAGCUAAAGCCAUAGCAUUUCUUAUCACUUCAGCAAGAAGAGGGCCUCAGCCCUGUAGUGUUGGAGACAAAACACAUGCAUGGUUAACCGCUUCACCUUACCUUUCCUAAAACACAGACGGACACAAAAUACACCUCCCUGGCAUUCAUCCAGUGAGCUGCAGGGAAGCAGCAGCUAUGGAGGAACGGCACGGAGGGAUUUUGGAGACCCACUAUGGAGAGCAUCUCUCCCAGCGGUCAGGAUGACCGAAUGAGCAAUGUGAAGGCAGAAAUGCUUUCACACUUGCUGGGGUAACUUAAGGGAACUGGAAGCAUUGUUGCUUUGUAAGCGAGGAACGGCCUGACUCACAAAACCGUGGCAGUCCCCUGAGUCCAAUUAUUAUCACAACAUUAUAAAAGGCUAAAGUGUUGAUUUCUACAGCUAACAUGCAAGCGCUGUGUUGUUUGGAGCGGUAUUUCCUGUGAGGUCUGUCUCGUCUUUGAUUUUGAAUUGUCAGGCUGAUCCCCAGUCGACUGGGAACAAACGGGGGGUCCUAGUUAAGAGUUCCCAGUCCGAGCCCUGAGGGUCAGAGAAGAAUCGGGAACAUGAUGAUUAUGGAACACUCUGGGGGUUCUGCUAGGUCGUCAGAGUGAGUUGAGGGUUGCUGAUCAGUUUUCUUGUUUUUGUUUUUGGGUUUUAUUUUUAAGAUUUAUUUAUUAUUUUAUGUGAGUACACUGUAGCUGUCUUCAGACACACCAAAGAGGGUGUGGGGCCCAAUUACACAUGAUUGUGAGCCCCCAUGUAGUUGCUGGGAAUUGAACUCCUCGUGACCUCUGGAAGAGCAGUCAGUGCUCUUAACUGCUGAACCAUCUCUCCAGUCCUCUUCUUAAUUUUUUCUUUUCUUUUUUCUUUUUAACAAUUGUACCCAUCUAUUGUGCACCUGUGUGUGUGCACACGUGUGCCUCGGCAAAUGUGUGGAGGUCAGAAGACAAAUUGCAGGAGUCAGAGCACUGGGAAUCAAAUCUUUGGCGUGUGUGCGGGCUAGUUUUAUGUCAGCUUGAUAUGAGCUAGAGUCAUUUGAGGAAAGGGAACCUCAGUUGAGAAAUUGCCUUCAUAAGACUAGGCUGCAAGCAUGACUAUAGGGCAUUUUCAUAAUUAGUGAUUGAUGUGGGAGGGCCUGACCCAUUGAGGAUGCUGCCAUCCCUGGGCAGGUGGUCCUGGACUCUGUAAGAAAGCAGGCUGAGCAAGCCACAGAGAGCAAGUCAGUACGCAGCACUCCUCCAUGGUCUCUGCAUCAGCUCCUGCCUCCAGGUUCCUGUCCAGUUCCAGUUCCUGUCCUCUCUUCCUUCAGUGAUGAACAACCAUGUGAAAUCACUAAACCCUUUCCUCCCCAAAUUGCUUUUGGUCACGGUGUUUAUCACAGCACUAGCAACCCUAACUAGGACAGCAUGUGAGGCGAGCACUCUCCUACUGAGCUACAUCUCUAGCAUUUGGUUGGUUUGUUGGUUUGUUUGGUUUUUGAGACAAAGUCUUAUUAUAUAUCCCAGACUCUCAGAGAAUUGGACCCUCCUGCAGCAGGCCCAGGGCUGGGAUUACAGGAACGCACCAACAUUCCUGGAUGAGCUUUUGUUGUUUUCCGACCUUUCUCCCUGGAAGUCAAGCAAAACGAUGGAAUUAGGCAAGGUUGUCAGUGAACACAGGCAAAGCCUAUUGCAAUGGCUGCUGUGAGCUGCAGAGUGAGCAGCGAUGGAGGUAGUGUGCUGUAGAAUGUCUGAUGUCUUCAUAGACUUUUCAGUUUAGAUAGGGCUUUCCCUUUCCAAGCAGGCCAGUACAGAUAUGGUUAGAUAUACUGUAAGCUUCAAUAAUUAUGGAAGAUUCCAUUAUUGUGCCAUUAUUUUAAGCACAUUACCGGCUGUGAUCAAUAAAAUGUCCCUUUAAGUGGCUAUAAACUGAAACCAAGAAACGAGCAUUCAGAUCAAUGUUUAGCCAGAGCUAAUUAUUUUAAAUUGCUUAGAAAUCACAGCUCCUGAGAAAGUGGAUGCCCUAUUUUGGGGCCUGGCAUAUUUAUUUUAAUACAUGAAAAGAGUUACUUGCUCUCUGUUACAAUUCUGCUGUUUUGUUUCAAACAGUGAUACAAUGCUUGGUCAGGUCUGGGAGACAGUUCAGUCCUCCAAAAUGCUUGGAUCACCAGAACCUACAGGCUUGAAGGGGUGAACAACUCAUUCAAAUUGCCCUCUGAUUUCUGAGUUCCACAUGUUCACCAUGGCAUGAGUCCUACACCCCAGCCCCUGUGUAAAAAUACUUUUUAGGAGACACAGUAUUUAGUGCCUGGCCACACUAUUAAACAAGGGCACUGUUGUGGGAUAGACUUUUAUUUUAUAAUUCUGCUAGGAUUAUUGUGUUUUUCUCUCUUGAGGCUUAUUCUAAGUAAUUAUGAAUACAGAAGUGCAAACUUAACAGAAGUCUGAUUAGUCAUGGUGAUAUAUAUAUAUAUAUAUAUAUAUAUAUAUAUAUAUAAUUGAAUAGUAAAAUAAUAAAAUUGAGGAAUAUUCAUCAUCAUUGUGGGGUGAUUCUUCCUCUUGGAGGUGGGGGGGAAAGAUGUUUUUAAAAUAUAUAAAAAUACAUGGUUAAUUGCCUGUCUCAAAGACAAAAUUGUAAGGUCCAGGCAUAGGGGUAAGCCCUCUGUAACCUUGGCACUGGGAGUGGGUAGGAGAAAGGCAGAUCUCUUAGAGUGCAGGAGCCAGACGGUCUAUCCAAUCAGUCAUAGGCCGUGGGUUCCGUUAGAGAGACCCUGUCUCAAAAAAAAAAAAGGUGGAAAAUAAUGGAAAAGACAUUCUGACAUCAUCCUCUGGUUUACACACAUGCACAAACCAUAAAAAUAAAAUGUAGGCAUUGAGAAAGUCAUAGAAGCUUGAGAGUUGGCUCCAUGGUUAAGAGUGUGUACUAUUCUCACAAACCCAAGUUCAGUUCCCAGCCCUUGUAGCGGAAUCUGAUGCCCUCAUCUGGCCACCAUUGCCACUACACUUAAAUGCACACACCCACACAACCAUACCUAUACAUAGUUAAGAAAGGAAGAAGGAGAAGAAGG
rnacentral:lncRNA from 1 species